rnacentral:rRNA from 1 species
GAUGAACGCUGGCGGCGUGCCUAAUACAUGCAAGUCGAGCGAAUGGAUUAAGAGCUUGCUCUUAUGAAGUUAGCGGCGGACGGGUGAGUAACACGUGGGUAACCUGCCCAUAAGACUGGGAUAACUCCGGGAAACCGGGGCUAAUACCGGAUAACAUUUUGAACCGCAUGGUUCGAAAUUGAAAGGCGGCUUCGGCUGUCACUUAUGGAUGGACCCGCGUCGCAUUAGCUAGUUGGUGAGGUAACGGCUCACCAAGGCAACGAUGCGUAGCCGACCUGAGAGGGUGAUCGGCCACGCUGGGACUGAGACACGGCCCAGACUCCUACGGGAGGCAGCGGUAGGGAAUCUUCCGCAAUGGACGAAAGUCUGACGGAGCAACGCCGCGUGAGUGAUGAAGGCUUUCGGGUCGUAAGACUCUGUUGUUAGGGAAGAACAAGUGCUAGUUGAAUAAGCUGGCACCUUGACGGUACCUAACCAGAAAGCCACGGCUAACUACGUGCCAGCCGCCGCAGUAA